rnacentral:rRNA from 1 species
GAUGAACGCUGGCGGCGUGCCUAAUACAUGCAAGUCGAGCGAACAGACGAGGAGCUUGCUCCUCUGACGUUAGCGGCGGACGGGUGAGUAACACGUGGAUAACCUACCUAUAAGACUGGUAUAACUUCGGGAAACCGGAGCUAAUACCGGAUAAUAUAUUGAACCGCAUGGUUCAAUAGUGAAAGACGGUUUUGCUGUCAGUUAUAGCUGGAUCCGCGCCGCAUUAGCUAGUUGGUAAGGUAACGGCUUACCAAGGCAACGAUGCGUAGCCGACCGGAGAGAGGGAUCGGCCACCCUGGAACGUGUACGCGGACCAGACGCCUGCGGGAGGGAGCAGUAGGCAAUCUGCCGCAGUGGGCGAAAGCCUGACGGAGCAACGGCGAGUGAGAGAUGAAGGUCUUCGGAGCGUAAAACUCUGUUAUUAGGGAAGAACAGAUGUGUAAGUAACUAUGCACGUCGUGACGGUACCUAAUCAGAAAGCCACGGCUAACUACGUG